rnacentral:lncRNA from 1 species
UUUGUUAUUUAACCACUGUAUAUAGCCAUAAGCCCAUACACUACCACACCCUGCUUAGAUAAGUGUUGUUUACCCCGAAGCUGCGGAAAAACCUAAGUUUGGGGUUUCAUCAGAAUUUGGGGACACCGACGAACCAUAGAUAAGUGCAAAAAAAAAGAUGAGAAAAUUCAAAGAAAAGAAAAAAAGAAGAAAAAAAAAGAUCAUGAAGCACUUAUCUAGAAGUAUUAUGGUUGGCAAAAAGCAUGCUCAAAAGAGCGAUAAAAGAAAAUAUAUGAGCCAAUGAACCUCAACAAGAACGGUGUCCAAAAGAAAUACCCCCGAGUUAUAAAUUUCAACAACAGUGACGAGGGUAACAACACGAAAUCUGAG